UAAAUCAAACAAUUUCCGUACGGAACCAUCUUAAUUCACACAUGUGUCGGACAUUUUGAAUCUUUCAUUAGGAUUAAAAAUUAGAACUGCUUAUGAAUCUUAAAUUAUGUAAUAAAUAGUUUAGAAGAGAUAAAAGAAAUUUAUUUUUAGUAUUAUAUUGUGGUUAACGAAGCAGCUAAAAAGUCCUAUUGUUAUGAGGAUUGCAAAAGUUUUAAAUAACAUAAACUAAAGAAGGCAUUGAUAAUCAGCAGAUAAUAAAAAAAGCAAAAGUACUGAUUAUACAAAUCAUUUAGAGUCAAACGAUCACUACUUCCACAGCCACCUUGUCUCAAGGAUUCAAUUGCAUUGUAAGAUAUUUUUAUUCAAAUCAAGUGUGACUACUAUACCAAAAGACUGUAGAAUGGACAUAUGAACUAACCCAUCAGUACUUGCAAAGUCUCCUUUUCUGUUAGCUCGAAAAUUGAGUUCUAAAAUACCAUUAUUCACAUAACUACUAUAUCAAAGCACAAACUAAUGGAUUGAUCA